GCUCCAUGUCAUCACCACUGUCAAAAAGCCAGGCAAUACCAACAAUGCUGUGGCCUUCAUUUUCAAAAUCCCUUCGACUGUGUCAUUAAAAGAUAUCAAUCCAAAAGUGACUUCAAAUAACCCCACCCGUACCAAAAGCACAAUGCAGGAAAUACAGAAAUUAACGGAGGAUUUGGUAAUUGACAUUGGUGUGAGGUAUGUGUCAAAAGAUCAGUCUGUCCCACCACAAGUCAAACUUAAGACUGUACAAGUCAACCUAGGGCUCCCCCUGGUGGCAGUGUUAAAGUUAUGGAAACCAAUUGAAAAUGAGGCUACGGAACAUGAAGACUUCAGUGAUAAAAAUGGCUAUUCCUGAGACACGACUCUUAAAAGUUCAACAUUUCAUGGAGAAACUGCUUAGAUAUGCAUCAUAAGAAAAGAGCCACUACCUACUGCAGGGGUUUUGAAUGGUGGUGCUGUUGGAUUUCAUUUUGUUUCUCAAUAUCAUUAUACAUGUAAUUGAUAAAUUUUGUCCACACUAAUUUUGUCAGGGAUCUGAUUUUUGUUGUCCAUGCAAACAUGUAGUUUGUUUCUGUUUGUUUUAAUAAUACCAAUUAAUAUAAAACGUUUUCAGAUUCAUGUUUUGGGAUUUUGUUAAGUUUGACCAUAGAUGCAUGUUACAUAUACCUAUCUACAUUAAGUAUAUGAGGGACACUGCCUGUUGACUUGUUACAUGUAUUACUUUAAAGUAUUUUAUAUUUUUGGUGCAAACUUUUCUUUCAUGUUAAUAUUUUGUUUUUAUGUUUAAUGCAUGCUGUGUUUAAUGUAUGGAUAAAAAUAUAUUAAUUUGUCUUUUAUCAGAGUUUCUGUUUGUUUAUUUGGUCUCACUUGUGCUUGUAUAUACAUGCAGUGCAUGUAAACAAGCAAAUAUUGAUAAUGAAUUUUAACUACUUCAGUGAAAAUUCAUGAUGAUUAUUAAUUAAGAUGCAGAUUGUGAACAAAGAUAACCUGUCAACCAGGUUCUUGUAACUUGAGGCCUGUUCAAAAGAGCGAACUUUCGUGAGCGCUCGCCAAAAUUCCUUAUACCUCCAACAGAUAUGUUUGCGAGCGUUUGCUCUGUUGAACAGGUCUCUGUACUUUAACAUUUCCAUUUAACUUUUACCUCCUCCUCCCACCCACCCCCCCUGUUAGUGAGCUUGGCCCAAACAAAUGAUGAGAGAAUCAAUGGGUUUCUGCUGAAUAGAUCUUUACUUUGUUGUUCUUGGUAUUCUGUUACAUGUAUCACAUAACUUAUAAUUUAAAACAAAACAGAUUUUUUAUACUGUAUGGUCUCUACUUUAAAUUUUAUGUUUUUAUCAUCAUUAAUAUGUUAUCUGUUAAAGUAUUGUUCUUAUGACACUUAUUAUCAUUUAAAAGAGUAUCUGUAUUUGGUGAAAGCAGUACAUUUCAUUUAGACAUGUAACUCCUUCAUUCUUUUGUUUAUGAAUUUUUAAUUAUGUAUUUACAUCUCAAUGCAAAUAUUAUUUCAAACAGAAAUACCGGGUACCAAUAGGAAAUGAGCAUUGAUGAAUUCUGUGCAAUGUGUGUACAUAUUUGAUGCUAAAGAGUCUUUAAUUAUAUUUCUUUCGGGAAUUAGGUUAAUGUAAUUUUUUUUUCAGUUGUAUUAUUAUAUAUGUAUUACCAUAUUGAUUUUCCCGUAAUUAAAAGCUACAUGUAUUCCUUACAUGUACAGUACAUCUUAACUUAUACAUAGGUGUAUGUACUGAUGUUUAAUUAGGCCCAAGAUCAGGUAGCAAUUUUGUUAGGCUUUGAAAUAUUUAGCUGAUUGAAAUUUCUAUGUUAUUUCUUUUCCAUGAUCUGUGGACGAAAUAUUAAGAAAUACAUGUAUAUCUCUCAUUGGAUUGUUUUUUUUUUUUUAAUUAAAUAUACAUUCUUAGAAUAUCUUUGUUGUGAUGAAAUGUUGAAUAAAUUGAUUAUAGUAAAUUUUAAUAUCAGACUGUUUUUCUCUUUGUUUUUAGUUACUUUUAGUAUAAAAAUAAUUGUAAUUUAUUUGUAUACUGUAUGUCUUGUUGAUAAUAUAUAGUAUACAAGAAUGUUUAUAGCAGUUCAGUCUCAAGCUAUAACACUUGUUUAAAGAAAUAAACUGUAUGGUUACAUAUACAUGUAUUGUUAUAAAUUUUGUACAUACAAAUUUGUAUAAAUAUUAAUUCUUUGUCAGGAAUUUUGUUCUUUUGUUUUCAAUGUGACAUGGUCUGAGUGUAUUAUAUUGUACAUUACUAAAAUGAAUUCUCUACUAGAAAAUUUGAUUAUAAAAAAUUUUUCACACUGAGAAUCUUGUAAAGUUUGUCUGACCUUCUACCAGUUAAUGAUAUUUUUUAAAUUUCAUAUUGCUCCAUAAGUGUUUUUUUUUUUUAAUUUGAUUUAAGUAUUACUGUUGUAGACUACAGAAGGGCCAUGCUGUAAUUUUUAUGCCUGGUGCCAUACCAGGCAUAAAAAUUACAGCAUGGCCAUGAAUAUUGGUAUUGUUAUUAAAGAGAGAAAUAAAAUGAAAUAAUUCAAAACACUUCUA